GAUGAACGCUAGCGGCAGGCCUAAUACAUGCAAGUCGAACGAGAUUGUUGUAGCAAUAUGACAUGAAAGUGGCGCACGGGUGCGUAACACGUAUGCAAUCUACCUUUGAUAGGGGAAUAGCUUCGAGAAAUCGGAAUUAAUGCCCCAUAACAUAUUUGAGUGGCAUCACUCGAUUAUCAAACCUCCGGGGAUCAAAGAUGAGCAUGCGCAACAUUAGCUAGUUGGUGAGGUAAUGGCUCACCAAGGCUACGAUGUUUAGGGGGUCUGAGAGGAUGACCCCCCACACUGGUACUGGGACACGGACCAGACUCCUACGGGAGGCAGCAGUAGGGAAUAUUGGUCAAUGGAGGCAACUCUGAACCAGCCAUGCCGCGUGCAGGAUGACGGCCCUCUGGGUUGUAAACUGCUUUUAUACGGGAAGAAAAAGAGCUACGUGUAGCUUAUUGACGGUACCGUAAGAAUAAGGAUCGGCUAACUCCGUGCCAGCAGCCGCCGUAA
rnacentral:rRNA from 1 species